rnacentral:rRNA from 1 species
GACGAACGCUGGCGGCGUGCUUAACACAUGCAAGUCGAACGAUGAAAGAGAAUCCGAUCUCUUCGGAGUGAAGAAUCUCUGGAUUAGUGGCGGACGGGUGAGUAACUCGUGAGCAAUCUGCCUUACACAAAGGGAUAGCCUCGGGAAACCGGGAUUAAUACCAUAUGAUAUCUCUUAACCGCAUGGUCUAUAGAUUAAAGAAUUUCGGUGUAAGAUGAGCUCGCGUCCCAUUAAUUAGUUGGUGAGGGUAACGGCCCACCAAGAUAGCGAUGGGUAGCCGAUCUAAGAGGAUGACCGGCCACAUUGGAACUGAGAAACGGUCCAAACUCCUACGGGAGGCAGCAGUGGGGAAUAUUGCACAAUGGGGGAAACCCUGAUGCAGCGACGCCGCGUGAGCGAUGAAGGCUUUCGAGUCGUAAAGCUCUGUCCUAUGGGAAGAUAAUGACGGUACCAUAGAAGAAAGCCCCGGCUAAUUACGUG